CGACGAUCCUGUUGGCCUUGAGGUUCCGCUUGUACGUCUCGCUCUUCAGGAACUUGCUCCUGUACGUCACCUCCCCUGAAACCACACAGGUGAAGCUGUGGAUGAGCGCCAUGCCGUCGAACCAGUGGUUGUACUGGGACCCGCCCACGGAGAAGAGCCCGGGGCCGUUCCUCAGCAGGGUGCCCUGCAGCCAGGGCGGGAUGCACCCUGCAGGUCAAAGGUCACGCAGCACAAAAUAAAUCACCAGCGUCUGACACGUCAUAAUAAUACAUAUGAAGCCAUGACUAAGGGAUGCAUCGGGUCGGUUCUGCAUUUGGAACUAAACCAAUGUGUGAGCAGUGUUUAUCUUCUGCG